UACCUGGUUGAUCCUGCCAGUAGUCAUAUGCUUGUCUCAAAGAUUAAGCCAUGCAUGUCUAAGUAUAAACAAGUUUGUACUGUGAAACUGCGAAUGGCUCAUUAAAUCAGUUAUAGUUUAUUUGAUGGUGC
rnacentral:ncRNA from 1 species